rnacentral:tRNA from 1 species
GGAGGCGUUCAGGUUGCUGGUGCUCCUCGCGGUCUUCAACACCGACGUGAUCCGGGAUCCGGGUCAGGCGGGUUCGAUUCCCGUCCGCCUCCGCCA